rnacentral:rRNA from 1 species
AAAUGAAUAGACGGGGGCUCACACAAGCGGUGGAUCAUGUGGCUUAAUUCGAUAACAAGCGAGGAACCUUACCAGGACUUGACACUCAUUUGAAAACCCUUUGAAAGAAGGGUAUUCUCACAAGACAAAUGAGCAGGUGUUGCAUGGUUGUCGUCAGCAUGUGUCGUGAGAUGCACGCUUAAAUGCGGUAACAUGCGCAACCCCCGCCCUAUGUUUUAUUUGUCAUAGGGGACUGCCCGAGACAAUCGGGGGGAAGGUGGGGAUGACGCCAAAUCAGCAUGGCCCUUUGACGUCCUGGGCCGCACACAUGAUACAAUGGUUAGGACAACGGGUUGCCAAUCCGUAAGGAGGAGCUAAUCCCUUAAACCUAAUCUCAGUUCGGAUUGAGGUCUGCAAUUCGACCUCAUGAAGCCGGAAUCGCUAGUAAUCGCCAAUCAGCUACGUGGCGAUGAAUACGUUCCUGAGCCUUGUACACACCGCCCGU